rnacentral:rRNA from 1 species
GAUGAACGCUGGCGGCGUGCCUAAUACAUGCAAGUCGAGCGAACAGAUGAGGAGCUUGCUCCUCUGACGUUAGCGGCGGACGGGUGAGUAACACGCGGAUAACCUACCUAUAAGACUGGGAUAACUUCGGGAAACCGGAGCUAAUACCGGAUAAUAUAUUGAACCGCAUGGUUCAAUAGUGAAAGACGGUUUUGCUGUCACUUAUAGAUGGAUCCGCGCCGCAUUAGCUAGUUGGUAAGGUAACGGCUUACCAAGGCAACGAUGCGUAGCCGACCUGAGAGGGUGAGCGGCCACACGGGAAGGGAGACACGGUCGAGACUCCGAGGGGAGGCAGCAGUAGGGAAUCUUCCGCAAUGGGCGAAAGCCUGACGGAGCAACGCCGCGUGAGUGAUGAAGGUCUUCGGAUCGUAAAACUCUGUUAUUAGGGAAGAACAAAUGUGUAAGUAACUAUGCACGUCUUAACGGUACCUAAUCAGAAAGCCACGGCUAACUACGUG